CUUGCCGAACUGCUCGGGUAUAAUAUAUAUUCCCGGAUGAUUUUCCUUAAGUAUUUUGAAAUACUUACUUGGACUGAUAAAAGUCCGCUUUAAUUAUCUAGUGAAUACCCUUUUCAACACGACUAAAUAAAUUUCUCUUCUUCCGUAGCUUAGGGAAUUUUUCUUUAAAUUCUGAAUUUAUUUAGAGCGGUGGCUCAAUGAUUUUACUUACUUGCUAAGGCCCAAUUUAAUUAAUCGAGGACCAAAUCGAUAUUUAAAAGGGGAUGUCCCAAGUAAUUGACAUUUCUAGGCCCAAACAAUUAAGUUUAAUGGGUCCAACUCUUUCUCCUUUUUUUUUUAUAUCACUCCUUGGCCCAAAUUAAGCAAGGAGAAAAAAAAGAACACCUCCCCAGACGUCGGCCCCUUUCUCAUUCUCCUUCACCAUUUCAAAUUCUACACAUAAAUCCCUAAUUCCCCUUUCUCUCCAAACUCCAAAAUCGGGUACAGAACUUAGGAAAAAACGAAUCCCUAUUUGGAAGUAGCAUAGCAGCGUCAAAUCCUCCGGUUUGGAGUGAAGAGCAGCGGCGGAUUUCUUUCUUUCGAGCUCCCUCCGUCGAGUUUCCUUUACUCCAGUGGACGCCGUCUUCACUGCCUCCGUCUCCGGCGAGGGACGAUCGGUGUCAAGAAGAUCUCCCUCUUUCUCUCGGCUGCAUCGCCGCUGUCGCGACACCCCGUCGCCGACGCCCUUGCACCAGAUUCGGCGAGUAGCUGCCGCUGCAUGUUCGCGGUGGUGGAGACGCUGAUCGCGCCGUCCGUCUUCGUCGCGCAUUACCGGGGUUCGGCAGGUUUCCCCGCCUUUUCCCGGCGACUAGCUCUGCCUCUGAUACCUCCGGCUGUGGCAACGCCGUUCGGUCCGCUUCGCAGACUAGCGCCGCCGCCGGUGCUGACCGCUCGCGUAGACGGCUUCAGCUCGCCUUCCGUCGAGCUGCGGGUCCUUUCUUCGGCUAUCUCCGUCGUUAAACGACCUCGUGCAAGCUAAGUUUCUCUUUCGUUUAUAUGUUACCGACAUUCCAACUUGAGUUUCUUUCAGUAGGUAGGGUUGUGUUCUAAGUUUUGGAGCCUUGUAUGUGUAGUUCACUGGAAUGAGCUAAAUGCUAUGGUUAUUGUUCACUAUGGUGAGGCUUAAGUAAUUUGCGAUCGAUUUUAAUUGUCCAAGCUGCACCAUUGUUCUCCUGGUGUUAUUUUGUUGUGGUAUAAUUGCCAUGGGAUCUCUAAAUCCUAUCUUAAGAUGCUGUGUUGAAAACUAUAUGUGUGCUAGUUUUAUGAUGGAGGUGGGUGCACGGAUUUACCUCAGUUAUCGGCUCUUCUUGACUGCCGGAACUCCGCAGCUGGAUGCCGAAUCCUACUCGCUUUCUCUCUCGGCUCUCUAUCCUAUUUGAUGGAGGAUUUGAAAUAUGGAGAUGAGAGAGUGUUGUGGUGUAUGGAUGGUAUAUAAAAGGAAGCUGUACCUUGUAGUUUGUUGAGAUUUAGCAGAAUCAAAUCUGCAAGUUAUUUGUCUUUCGUUAAACUGAUUGGCUGUUUCUUUUGGAGGUAGUCCAAGGGUGUACUCGUGGGUUUAGAUGGAGCUGUUAUACUACUUUGUUUUCUUCUUGCAGCAGCCCCUUUUUCCUUUGAUGUUGUAGCAAUUUAACUAAGUGUUGGUAGUGAGUUUGCAGGUGUACAACAAAGGUGGGGAAAAAGGUUCGGCUGUGCCCUGCAGGCCGUUGCAGGCUGCACUGCCUCGCGGCAGCCUUCGGCUCAGGCUGUGAGUGCAGGAGGCUGUUACACUGCCUCUUUUGGCAAGGCUGAUUUGUUCACUGAGUCGAGAAGGGGACCGGCCAUGGUUCACUCGUUCCUACCGAAGGCCGGACCGUGGCCUUGGGCGUAAAGAGGAAAUUCACAAGUGCGUGCCACCAGGCACUCGGUUUCUUUAAAUUCUUGAUACUCUUUGUAAUAGUAUCCGAGUUCUCUUUUUUUUACAAGUGUAGUCGAACACUUUAGUUCGGCAAUAAAGUUCAAGGCACGUGCGCCUUGACCUUCUCAUAUAUUAUUUAUUUUUGUAAGCUAGAGCUUAGCUCGGAAACGUUGUACUUCAUUUACUUAAGGAAUUAACGAGCGAAUAUCUUUUAUUUUCAUAAA